GACGAACGCUGGCGGCGUGCUUAACACAUGCAAGUCGAACGCAGUGGCGAACGGGUGAGUAACGCGUAAUCAACCUGCCCUUCAGAGGGGGACAACAGUUGGAAACGACUGCUAAUACAGCAUACCGAAGGAGGGGCUUGAGUCUGAUUAGCUAGUGGGCGGGGUAACGGCCAACCAAGGCGAUGAUCAGUAGCCAGUGUGAGAGGGUGAGCGGCGACAUGGGGACUGGGACUCGGCCCAGACUCAUACGGGAGGCAGAAGUGGGAAAGCUGCCGAAAGGGAAGAAGGUCUGACGGAGCAACGCCGAGGGAGUGAUGAGGGCCUUCGGGUUGUAAGGCUCUGUUAAUCGGGACGCGGUACCGGAAUAGAAAGGCACGGCUAACUACGUGCCAGCAGCCGCGGUAAUAC
rnacentral:rRNA from 1 species